GAACUGAAGAGUUUGAUCCUGGCUCAGAUUGAACGCUGGCGGCAUGCCUUACACAUGCAAGUCGAACGGUAGCGCGGGGCAACCUGGCGACGAGUGGCGAACGGGUGAGUAAUGCAUCGGAACGUGCCCUGGAAUGGGGGAUAACGUAGCGAAAGUUACGCUAAUACCGCAUAUUCUGUGAGCAGGAAAGCAGGGGAUCGCAAGACCUUGCGUUCUGGGAGCGGCCGAUGUCGGAUUAGCUAGUUGGUGGGGUAAAGGCCUACCAAGGCGACGAUCCGUAGCGGGUCUGAGAGGAUGAUCCGCCACACUGGGACUGAGACACGGCCCAGACUCCUACGGGAGGCAGCAGUGGGGAAUUUUGGACAAUGGGCGGAAGCCUGAUCCAGCCAUGCCGCGUGAGUGAAGAAGGCCUUCGGGUUGUAAAGCUCUUUCGGCGGGGAAGAAAUUGCUUGGGUUAAUACCCUGAGUAGAUGA
rnacentral:rRNA from 1 species